rnacentral:lncRNA from 1 species
GUCUUGUGAUUGGUCUAGAAGAGCUGCUGGCCCUCUAGAGAGACACCAGCACUGAUUGCAUAGGCCUGACUCAGCUUUUCCUCCUUCUCUGUCCGUGCUUUGCUGGCAAGCUUACUAACAUUGAGUGCAGCUAGGGGAGGAGGGGUUUCUGUUCGGUCAUUAAUUAUUUCCACUUCGGAAACAUACUGUAAGUUUAUGAGCAAGAUGUCUGCAUGGUUGGGCUUUCCAUUGGAAGAGGGACAUUUUAAAGCCAGCAUUUUGGAUUGGUGGUCAAAGGCUACCACCUCGCCCUGCAGCCGCUGCUCCUGGCACGCCCCGCUCCACACCUGGCUCCCAACGCUAUAUACUCGCCGGGAGGAGCCGCCAUCUUGGGAGUGCAGCCGCGGCCGCCCGGCGGCGGCGGCGGCGGCAGCAGCGGGCGAAAGCCGGGCCCCCAGUGAGCGCCGCGCCGCGCCGCCAUUUUGUGGAUUUUUAUCUCAGUUCCAUCACUUUGAACAGUUGGGAUCAACUCAACAAUAUUUAAAGUGGGCUUUGCAGAGCAUCUUGUGGACAAAGUACAAGGGGAAGGAGCCAGACCCUCCCCAUGGCCAUGCUUUCUCUGAAACAGCCCUGAUGACGUACUUUUUCAUGCUGAGGUCUGACACUGAUUCCACAGGAAGACACAGGAGGCUAUGCAGUUUGCAAAUCGACAUUAGUUGCACAAUUUCAAAAAAUGUCCUCCUGAGGCGAGCUACAAAAAGUUCUCAAGAUAGAGCUAUUCAAAGAACAACUACCUUAGACUGCAAAUCACAUAUAGAAGGAGGAAGUCUCAUCUGCCCAGAAUGUUUCCUGAAGCUCCAACCCCAGAAGUUGAGACUCUGCUGAUAUUACAGCAUGAAAAUCUUCAGUAACUGAUUCCAACUGUUGCAGCUGCAAAGAAUUGCUUUGCUAAGUAAACGCAUUUAUGGAUUUGGCCACAUUUUGUUGUUUGCUGCCUUCAAUUAUUACAAAUUCAUUCUGCUCUCUGUUUUCCAAGGUAAGAGUGGAUAGAACUGAUAUGGAAAUGGUUUUAGCAAUGUGUUAGAUUUUUUAAAAAUUAUCUGUAGCUCCUUUUAAAAAUAAAACAUUUCUUUUUCUCUCAGCAGUAAAAUAUUUUCAUUGAUGAAAAAUUUGGAAAC